rnacentral:rRNA from 1 species
GAUUAACGCUGGCGGCGUGCAUAACACAUGCAAGUCGAACGAUGAAACUUUAAUGAACCCUUCGGGGAGAAUUAAAGCGGAUUAGUGGCGAACGGGUGAGUAACGCGUGAGUAACCUGCCUUACACAAGGGGAUAGCCUUUGGAAACGAAGAAUAAUACCCUAUAAAACCAUAAAAGCACAUGCAAUUAUGGUCAAAGUGAUAGCGGUGUAAGAUGGACUUGCGUCUGAUUAGCUAGUUGGUGAGAUAAAAGCCCACCAAGGCAACGAUCAGUAGCCGGCUUGAGAGAGUGUACGGCCACAUUGGGACUGAGACACGGCCCAGACUCCUACGGGAGGCAGCAGUGGGGAAUUUUGCACAAUGGGGGAAACCCUGAUGCAGCGACGCCGCGUGAUUUAGAAGGCCUUCGGGUUGUAAAAAUCUUUUGUAGAGGAAGAAAAUGACAGUACUAUACGAAUAAGGUCCGGCUAAUUACGU